ACGGGUGCGGAACACGUACGUAACCUUCCUUUAAGUGGGAGAUAGCCCGAAGAAAUUCGGAUUAAUACCCCAUAAGAUUGUGGAGUGGCAUCAUUCAGCAAUUAAAGAAUUUCGCUUAAAGAUGGGCGUGCGGCUGAUUAGGUAGUUGGUGAGGUAACGGCUCACCAAGCCAACGAUCAGUAACUGGCGUGAGAGCGCGACCAGUCACACGGGCACUGAGACACGGGCCCGACUCCUACGGGAGGCAGCAGUAAGGAAUAUUGGUCAAUGGACGCAAGUCUGAACCAGCCAUGCCGCGUGAAGGAUGAAGGUCCUCUGGAUUGUAAACUUCUUUUAUAUGGGAAGAAACCACUUUUUUCUAAAGGUGUUGACGGUACCAUAGGAAUAAGCACCGGCUAACUCCGUGCCAGCAGCCGCGGUAAUACGGAGGGUGCAAGCGUUAUCCGGAUUCACUGGGUUUAAAGGGUGCGUAGGCGGAUUAGUAAGUCCGUGGUGAAAUCUCCGAGCUUAACUCGGAAACUGCCGUGGAUACUAUUAAUCUUGAAUACUGUGGAGGUUAGCGGAAUAUGUCAUGUAGCGGUG
rnacentral:rRNA from 1 species